GACGAACGCUGGCGGCGUGCCUAAUACAUGCAAGUCGAGCGGACGGAUGGGAGCUUGCUCCCAGACCGUCAGCGGCAGACGGGUGAGUAACACGUGGGCAACCUGCCUGUAAGACUGGGAUAACUCCGGGAAACCGGGGCUAAUACCGGAUAACUCUUUCCCUCACAUGAGGGAAAGCUGAAAGAUGGCAUCUCGCUAUCACUUACAGAUGGGCCCGCGGCGCAUUAGCUAGUUGGUGAGGUAACGGCUCACCAAGGCGACGAUGCGUAGCCGACCUGAGAGGGUGAUCGGCCACACUGGGACUGAGACACGGCCCAGACUCCUACGGGAGGCAGCAGUAGGGAAUCUUCCGCAAUGGACGAAAGUCUGACGGAGCAACGCCGCGUGAGUGAUGAAGGUUUUCGGAUCGUAAAACUCUGUUGUCAGGGAAGAACAAGUACCGGAGUAACUGCCGGUACCUUGACGGUACCUGACCAGAAAGCCACGGCUAACUACGUG
rnacentral:rRNA from 1 species